rnacentral:rRNA from 1 species
AGCGAACGCUGGCGGCGUGCUUAACACAUGCAAGUCGAGGGAGAACGGGAGGCUUCGGCCUUUCUAGUAAACCGGCGCACGGGUGAGUAACACGUAGGUAACCUACCUUCGAGACCGGGAUAACCUAUCGAAAGAUGGGCUAAUACCGGAUAUGACCACGGGGGCCUCGGCUCCUGGGGUGAAAGAUGGCCUCUGCUUGCAAGCUAUCACUCGGGGAUGGGCCUGCGCACCAUAGCUAGUUGGUGAGGUAACGGCUCACCAAGGCUACGAUGGUUAGUUGGUCUGAGAGGAUGACCAGCCACACUGGGACUGAGACACGGCCCAGACUCCUACGGGAGGCAGCAGUGGGGAAUAUUGCGCAA